CUUAGGGCUCCUCAAUAACCAGUUUACAUGGAGCAGGCCAUCUCUUCUCUUGCUGUCUAUGGAAGACUGGCUAGAGUCAUUGCUACCACUUUGAAUUUCUUGAAUGGGAGAGAGUCAUGGUGAGGAAAGAAUUUCUCUACAGCAAAUGAAGCAGUGAGGGAAGAAAUAUUACAAUCACAUCAGCUUGG
rnacentral:lncRNA from 1 species